UCGUCUCUCUCGCUGGCUUUUUAAAAAUGAGGAACCGCUCCUUGAAUGUUCUGGACAGAGCACAGAAUUGCUUCUUAAGUCAGCCCGGCGCGGUUGCAAUAGACAGCAAAAAGGUAAACGUUUGCCUGAAAUCCGCACGCCAGCUCCACCGCCCCGCCCGAUGGUCCCAGUUCCUCUGGGAAUCGUCCUGUAUGCAACAUCUUCACAAGAGUGGCAGGCAGUUGAAUCUCUGGCCUUCGUGGGACCACUGGACAUCUGGCAGAGAACCAGGAAACCACGGUUCCCUUCUGUGAGUCCCUCAGCCGGAAAACUACAAGAUGAGUGUAAGGCCAUUAUCAUGGACUUUUUCCCCAGCUGCAGGUGAUGGUCUUGUUUUCCCAAGCUGCUACAGAGCUUCUGCAGCUCCAAGCAUGACCACUAUAUUUGGCUGCUUAAAAGCAUAACAAGGGCAGAAAUCAUAAAGGCUUUGCCCAGAGGGCCUUGAUUGUCCUUGCCUUCUUGUCCUUUGGUGAGAACUUCAUUGGUGGUGGCUCCAAAAAUCAGGAGACUUUCUGUGAUGAAUUCACCAUAAGAACGUGGGACCCAGCCUCCCUUGAAGGACGUCCUAUAUGAUGCCUGUUUCCAAGGGAAGAAGUAAAGUCAAGAAACAAGAUAU
rnacentral:lncRNA from 1 species